rnacentral:rRNA from 1 species
UACGGAGGGUGCAAGCGUUAUCCGGAUUCACUGGGUUUAAAGGGUGCGUAGGUGGGACGGUAAGUCAGUGGUGAAAUCUCCAAGCUUAACUUGGAAACUGCCGUUGAUACUAUCGUUCUUGAAUCUCGUGGAGGUAAGCGGAAUAUGUCAUGUAGCGGUGAAAUGCUUAGAUAUGACAUAGAACACCGAUAGCGAAGGCAGCUUGCUACACGAGUAUUGACACUGAGGCACGAAAGCGUGGGGAUCAAACAGG